rnacentral:rRNA from 1 species
UACGUAAGUGGCGAGCGUUAUCCGGAAUUACUGGGCGUAAAGCGUGCGUAGGCGGUUUAGUGUGUGGGAUUUGAAAGCCCGGGGCUCAACCCCGGGUCUGCCAUGCCGACUGUCAGGCUGGAGUACUGUAGGGGCAGGCGGAAUUCCGGGUGUAGCGGUGGAAUGCGUAGAGAUCCGGAGGAAGACCGGUGGCGAAGGCGGCCUGCUGGGCAGUUACUGACACUGAUGCGCGACAGCGUGGGGAGCAAACAGG